rnacentral:lncRNA from 1 species
GCUGAUCUACAUGAGUCUCAACAUCUUGGAGCUUACAUCUACAAGGUGCCUCAUCCUGGACAUGUCUUCUCCAAGAAAUAGGUUAAAACUAUUGCUGAAGACAAAAUGUCCAACUUAGAAACAAGUGUAAUGUGUUCAUUGAUCUUUAUUGCCUAUCUUCCCAGUGGCAUCAGCAAGGGUUUAAGAUUACGUUUCUUUGAACUGAAUGGGAGGUCUGAUCUGAAAAAUUUGCCAUGGUUUUUGACUAUGCUAAUAUCUGACGCUUUGAGAUGGUAGUUGAGAUUCAGUUUUGAGGUGCUGUGCUUCCUUUGACUGCAAUGAAAGGCCAACAGGGAUAGGACCUAAAAAUGUGAACCUCCUGGGAUUAUCAUGCAAUCUAAUAUCAAAACUCCAUUUCAACUAUCACACAUACAUACAACAAUAUUUAAUUCUAUUGUGAGAUGUGUAAAGAGAAGUGUAAUAUUCUAAAUUUUAUACUCCUAAAUGUUGAGAAAUGCAGAUUUAAGUACUUGAUGCAGUGCCAUAGCUACCUGCUAUAUUUUUCUGUCUUUUUUUUGGUACAGGUUUCAGAGAGGCUCCAUCUGAUUGUGGAUAUUUUGCAAAUGAAUGGAUUACAAAAAAGAACUUUAAAGAGGAAAACAUUGUACUAGAAGACCUCUUCCCUGCACUCCUGUAGGUCAAUUACCAAAACAGACAAACAAACUGUGGACUCUUGAAGAAAACGGAGAAAACAAAAAAUAAUUACACUGCAGUCUUAAAAGAGAGAAGUUAAAAGGCAAAACUGUAUUUCAUCCUUGUCUUAUAAACAGUGAAUUGUAAAACUUGUCUAUCACUUUUUUUUAAAUUUUCAACCACUGGCUUUUUUUUUAAGAAAAGGAAAAGAAAUUUCUGUAGUCCAAAACAAUGUUUACUUGUAAAAAUUGAUGAUGUCUUAAAAUGGGAUAGAGAUUAGCACAGCUCUGUCUACUGGAAGUGUAAUAUAAGGCACAUAGGUACUUUUAAAGUUUCUAAUAACUGCAUUUUAAAAAGAAAAAAGUGGAAAUAGGUUUAAUAAUAUGUUUUAUUUAACCCAAUAUGUACAAAUGAUUAUUUCAACAUCUAACCAAAAUAUAAUAAUUGAGAUACUAUAUAUUCUUUCUUUUGUACACUGUCUUUGAAACUUGGUGUGUAUUUUACAUUCACCGUAUAUUUCAACUUGGGCUAGCUAUAUUUCUCAUUCUAAGUACUCAGAAGCCACAUGUGAUUAUUGCUUAUUGGCUCUCAAAUCAGUAAGCACAGGUUUAGCAUAGAGUCCUGUCUUUGUAAUCAGACGAAUAGUUGUUCAAAACAUGACUGUAUGGCCUUAGCUAUGUGGCCUUAGACAAGUGGCUUAACUUCUAUCCUUUAAAAAAAAUAAAAUGGAGAUAAUAAUAUCUAACUUCUAGAAUUUUGUGAGAAUUAAAUACUCUAUGUCAAUCUUUCUUCAUAUGGUCAAUCCCAAUAAAUGGCUGCUAGUAUUGGAAGUACAGUA